UACGUAGGUGGCACGCGUUGUCCGGAUUUAUUGGGCGUAAAGAGCUCGUAGGUGGUUUGGUAAGUCGGAUGUGAAAUCUCCAGGCUCAACCUGGAGGGGUCAUUCGAUACUGCCAUGACUAGAGUUCGGUAGGGGAGUGUGGAAUUCCUGGUGGAGCGGUGAAAUGCGCAGAUAUCAGGAGGAACACCCGUAGCGAAGGCGGCACUCUGGGCCGAUACUGACACUGAGGAGCGAAAGCGUGGGGAGCGAACAGG
rnacentral:rRNA from 1 species